rnacentral:rRNA from 1 species
GAUGAACGCUAGCGGCAGGCUUAACACAUGCAAGUCGAGGGGUAGAUAGUAGCUUGCUAUUAUUGAGACCGGCAAACGGGUGCGUAACACGUAUAGAAUCUACCUUUUACUGAGGGAUAGCCUUUAGAAAUGAAGAUUAAUACCUCAUAGUAUCAAAUUUUCGCAUGAUUAUUUGAUUAAAGAUUUAUUGGUAAAAGAUGACUAUGCGUCCUAUUAGCUAGAUGGUAAGGUAACGGCUUACCAUGGCAACGAUAGGUAGGGGUCCUGAGAGGGAGAUCCCCCACACUGGUACUGAGACACGGACCAG